UCCUGACUCACCACCGUCCCGAGGUGUACCA
rnacentral:piRNA from 1 species